CGUGAAUCUUUGUCUGUUUCACUCCUCAGCAGCUCACUCUUGGUCCCAGGAGGAAAACAAGAAGGUUAACCAGGCACAACCCGGAGGUGUAAGUCAGAGACACAGGGUCUCACUGCGUGCCUGUAGUGCCAGCUACUCAGGAGACUGAGGUGGGAGGAUCUCUUGAGCCCAAGAGGUCGAGGUGGCAGUGGCCCGUGAUUGCACCACUGUACUGUCUGCACUACCAUUGUGAGCUGUAACACUCACUGUGAAGGUCUGCAAAGGUCUGCGGCUUCACUCCUGAAGUCAGCAAGACCACGAACCCACCAGAAAGAAGAAAUUCCAGACACAUCUGAACAUCUGAAGGAACAAACUCCGGACACACCAUCUUUAAGAACUGUAACACUCACCAUGAGGGUCUGUGGCUUCAUUCUUGAAGUCAGAGAGACUGAGAACCCAUGGGAAGGAACCAAUUCCGGACGCACUGGGUUCACGCCAUUCUCCUGCCUCAGCCUCCCGAGUAGCUGGGACUACAGGUGCCCGCCCAC